GGCUGAAAACAUGAUGCCCGAUGUAAUUGGUGGUCCUUUUGCAGAUGUCCUCUCUGCAACUUUAGAAAGCAUCCUUGAAAUAGUACUUACUUCCAAGAAUGUCUUUAUAGAAAAAAAGAGUUUUGCAGAACUUUCAGAUUAUUUGAAUCGUAUUGUUCCUUUUCUUAAGGAGAUCAAUAGGAAGAACAUUACUGAUUCCACACCCUGGCAAAAUGUUAUACAAAUUCUUAACCAACAGACGGUGGAUGCAAGGCAACUUAUCUUGGAAUGCAGUAAGAAAAACAAGGUCUAUCUAUUAAUGAAUUGUCGGCAUAUUGCAAAGCGCAUAGAAAAUAUCACCAGGGAAAUUAGCCGUGCAUUAAGUUGCAUUCCUUUAGCUUCUCUUGACAUUUCUUCGGGUAUAAAGGAAGAUAUUGUCCAAGUGAUGGAUAGUAUGCGUACAGCAGAGUUUAAAACAGCCAUAGCUGAAGAAGAGAUUUUAAAUAAGAUAGACUCAGGUAUACAUCAGAGAAAUGUUGAUCGGUCCUAUGCCAACAAGUUGUUAGUUUCAAUUGCUGAGGCCAUUGGAGUUUCAACUGAAAGCUCAGCUUUAAGGAGAGAAUUUGAAGAAUUCAAAGAUGAAAUAGACAAUGCGCGGCUAAGGAAGGACCAGGCUGAAGCCUUGCAGAUGGACCAAAUAAUUGCUCUGCUAGAAAGGGCAGAUGCUGCAACAUCCCGUCAGGAAAAAGAAAAGAAGUACUUCAUAAAGCGGAAAUCAUUGGGCAAUCAACCUUUGGAACCUCUUCUGUCAUUCUAUUGCCCGAUCACAGGUGAGGUUAUGACUGAUCCUGUGGAGACUCCUUCAGGGCAUACAUUUGAAAGGUGUGCAAUAGAGAAGUGGUUGGCAGAGGGAAAUUUGUGUCCCAUGACAUCUACACCUUUGAAAAAUACAAUGAUGCGGCCGAAUAAAACUCUGCGGCAGUCAAUUGAGGAAUGGAAAGACCGAAAUACGAUGAUCACUAUUGCUAACAUGAAAUUGAAACUAUCGUCCAACGAGGGGGAUGAAGUUCUCAAUUGCCUGGAACAGGUUAAGGAUAUUUGUGAGCAGAGAGAAAUACACCGAGAAUGGGUUAUUAUGGAGGACUAUAUUCCUAUUCUAAUCAAGCUACUGGAUUCAAAAAGUAGGGAUAUCAGAAAUCUUGUUCUUGAGGUGCUCUGCGUACUAGCAAAGGAUGGUGAUGAUGCUAAGGAAAGAAUUGUUGAAGUUGAUAAUGCAUUGGAAUCUAUUGUUCACUCACUUGGACGUCGCAUUGGUGAAAGGAAGUCAGCAGUAGCAUUGUUACUGGAAUUGUCAAAAUGCAAGUCUGUUCAGGAGUCCAUUGGGAAGGUUCAAGGUUGCAUACUUCUGUUAGUUACUAUGUCAAGCUGUGAUGACAACAAAGCUGCCAAAGAUGCAAGAGACGUUUUGGAGAACAUUUCAUUUUCUGAUGACAAUGUUAUCCUGAUGGCCCAGGCUAACUAUUUCAAGUACUUGUUGCAACGCCUUUCUUCAGGAUCCAGUGAUGUGAAGCUCCUAAUGGCAAAAACCUUAGGAGAGAUGGAGUUGACAGAUCAUAAUAAGUCAUCUCUAUUUGAGGAAGGAGUUCUAGAUUCCCUUCUUUCCUCGUUAUCACACAGUGAAGUUGAAGUGAAACAAGCAGGAGUGAAAGCUCUUCUAAACCUCUCUAGUUUACCAAGAAAUGGACAGGAUAUGAUCAGAAAAGGUGUUAUGCGUCCACUGCUUGAUAUGUUGUACCGUCACACAGCUUCCCAAAGUCUGCGAGAACUGGUAGCAGCCACUAUUACAAAUCUUGCCUUCUCUGCAAGCAGUGAAGCGCUUUCACUGCUUGAUGCUGAUGAAGAUGUUUAUGAACUCUUUUCCCUAGUAAACUUGAAUGGCCCAGCUGUGCAGCAAAGCAUACUCCAAGCUUUCUGCGCCAUGUGCAAGUCUCCAUCUGGCGCUAAUGUCAAGAUCAAGCUAGCACAGUGCUCAGCUGUCCAAGUGCUAAUGCAGUUCUGUGAGCAUAGCAAUUCAAAUGUACGGUCAGAUGCAAUCAAAUUAUUAUGUUGCUUGAUUGAAAAUGGUAAUGGAGGUGUGAUCCAGGAGUACGUGGAUCAAAACUUCAUUGAAAUAUUACUUAAGAUCAUCAAGACUUCACAGGAUGAAGAAGAGAUUGCUUCUGCAAUGGGGAUUACCUCCAACCUUCCCAAAUCUUCUCAAAUCUCUGACUGGCUUUUUGCAGCGGAAGGACUUCCAGUCUUUUCCAAAUUUCUUGAUGAGGUAAAGCAUAAGAGUUCCUGUAAGCUUCAACUGGUAGAAAAUGCUGUCGGGACAUUAUGUCAUUUCACAGUCUCAAUAAACCAACAAACACAGAGGAUAGCUGGCCUUGUUCCCAAGCUGAUACGACUGCUAGACCAGGGAACAAGCUUGACAAAAAACCGAGCGGCAAUUUGUCUUGCACAGCUUUCAGAGAAUUCACAAACACUGAGUCGUACAAUUCCAAAGCGUUCGGGGUUAUGGUGUUUCUCACCUUCACAAGUAGAACUUUGCCCUAUUCAUCGAGGGAUAUGCACACUAGAAACUUCAUUUUGUUUGGUAGAGGCUGGCGCCGUGGGACCUCUGGUGAGGGUUCUUGGGGAUACCGAUCCUGGAGCCUGUGAAGCUUCU
rnacentral:misc_RNA from 1 species